ACGGGUGAGUAAUAUAUAGCUAAUCUGCCCCUUGCUGGAGGACAACAGUUAGAAAUGACUGCUAAUACUCCAUACUCCUUUUUACCAUAAGAUAAAUCGGGAAAGAAUUUCGGCAAGGGAUGAGACUAUAUCGUAUCAGCUAGUCGGUGGGGUAACGGCCUACCGAGGCUAUGACGCGUAACUGGUCUGAGAGGAUGAUCAGUCACAUUGGAACUGAGACACGGUCCAAACUCCUACGGGAGGCAGCAGUAGGGAAUAUUGCGCAAUGGGGGAAACCCUGACGCAGCAACGCCGCGUGGAGGAUGACACUUUUCGGAGCGUAAACUCCUUUUGUUAGGGAAGAAUAAUGACGGUACCUAACGAAUAAGCACCGGCUAACUCCAUGCCAGCAGCCGCGCUAAUACGGAGGGUGCAAGCGUUACUCUGACUCGCAGGGCGUUAACGACGAUUAGACGGAUUAGCAGAUCUCACGUGCAAUACAAGAGCUCAAUCGUAUCUAAGAUCGCCAAGCUAAAACUUCUAAACUCCAGGGAUAGAACAAUACUUCAGGUCUUUAUAAGAGAGAAUCUAAUAUCUGAGUACAAAGUAACGACGUGAACUUAUAUCGUACACCACAGCCAGAGUCUGCCUUCUGGAAAUACCAUUACUGAUUCAAGCUCAAGACUUAGUUAGCGAUCAAAUUAAAUGCCCCGAUAAUCCGAGGCUGAAAACGAAG
rnacentral:rRNA from 1 species